rnacentral:rRNA from 1 species
UGGGGAAUUGUUCACAAUGAGCGCAAGCCUGAUGACGCAACGCCGCGUGGAGGAUGAAGGUCUUCGGAUUGUAAACUCCUGUUGCCCGGGACGAAAAGCUUCAGCUUAAUACGUUGAAGUCUGACGGUACCGGGUGAGGAAGCCCCGGCUAACUCUGUGCCAGCAGCCGCGGUAAUACAGAGGGGGCAAGCGUUGUUCGGAAUUACUGGGCGUAAAGGGCGCGUAGGUGGCCUGCUAAGUCGAACGUGAAAUCCCUGGGCUCAACCCAGGAACUGCGUCCGAUACUGGUUGGCUUGAAUCCGGGAGAGGGAUGUGGAAUUCCAGGUGUAGCGGUGAAAUGCGUAGAUAUCUGGAGGAACACCGGUGGCGAAGGCGACAUCCUGGACCGGUAUUGACGCUGAGGCGCGAAAGCCAGGGGAGCAAA